rnacentral:tRNA from 1 species
GGAGGGUAUCACAAUGGUAGAGUGCAUGCCUAACAUGCACGAGGUCCUGGGUUCAAUCCCCAGUACCUCCA